GAUGAACGCUGGCGGCGUGCCUAAUACAUGCAAGUCGAGCGAACAGACGAGGAGCUUGCUCCUCUGACGUUAGCGGCGGACGGGUGAGUAACACGUGGAUAACCUACAUAUAAGACUGGGAUAACUUCGGGAAACCGGAGCUAAUACCGGAUAAUAUAUUGAACCGCAUGGUUCAAUAGUGAAAGACGGUUUUGCUGUCACUUAUAGAUGGAUCCGCACCGCAUUAGCUAGUUGGUAAGGUAACGGCUUACCAAGGCAACGAUGCGUAGCCGACCUGAGAGGGUGAUCGGCCACACUGGAACUGAGACACGGUCCAGACUCCUACGGGAGGCAGCAGUAGGGAAUCUUCCGCAAUGGGCGAAAGCCUGACGGAGCAACGCCGCGUGAGUGAUGAAGGUCUUCGGAUCGUAAAACUCUGUUAUUAGGGAAGAACAAAUGUGUAAGUAACUAUGCACGUCUUGACGGUACCUAAUCAGAAAGCCACGGCUAACUACGUG
rnacentral:rRNA from 1 species